rnacentral:siRNA from 1 species
UGUCCCUCGCAGAAUUUUCGAUA